rnacentral:rRNA from 1 species
UGGUAGUNCCACGCCGUAAACGAUGAAUGCUAGCUGUUAGCGAUAUACUGUUAGCGGCACAGAGAAAUCGUUAAGCAUUCCACCUGGGGAGUACGCCGGCAACGGUGAAACUCAAAGGAAUUGACGGGGGCCCGCACAAGCGGAGGAACAUGUGGUUUAAUUCGAUGAUACGCGAGGAACCUUACCUGGGCUUAAAUUGCAGUGGAAUAACGUGGAAACAUGUUAGCCUUCGGGCCGCUGUGAAGGUGCUGCAUGGUUGUCGUCAGCUCGUGCCGUGAGGUGUCGGCUUAAGUGCCAUAACGAGCGCAACCCUCAUCGAUAGUUACUAACAGGUUAAGCUGAGGACUCUAUCGAGACUGCCGACGUAAGUCGUGAGGAAGGUGGGGAUGACGUCAAAUCAGCACGGCCCUUACGUCCAGGGCUACACACGUGUUACAAUGGGGGGUACAAAGGGCAGCUACCUGGCGACAGGAUGCUAAUCUCAAAAACCUCUCUCAGUUCGGAUUGGAGUCUGCAACCCGACUCCAUGAAGCUGGAUUCGCUAGUAAUCGCGCAUCAGCCACGGCGCGGUGAAUACGUUCCCGGGCCUUGUACACACCGCCCGUCAAGCCAUGGGAGCCGGGGGGACCUGAAGUAUGCAACCGUAAGGAGCGUCCUAGGGUAAAACUGGUGACUGGGGCU